AAUGGGCGCAAGCCUGAUCCAGCCAUGCCGCGUGAAUGAAGAAGGCCUUAGGGUUGUAAAGUUCUUUCAGUGGUGACGAUGAUGACGGUAGCCACAGAAGAAGCCCUGGCUAACUCCGUGCCAGCAGCCGCGGUAAUACGGAGGGGGCAAGCGUUGUUCGGAAUUACUGGGCGUAAAGGGCGCGCAGGCGGCGUCGCCAGUCAGGUGUGAAAUCCCCGGGCUCAACCUGGGAACUGCACUUGAUACUGCGAUGCUAGAGUUCGGAAGAGGGUAGUGGAAUUCCCAGUGUAGAGGUGAAAUUCGUAGAUAUUGGGAAGAACACCAGUGGCGAAGGCGGCUACCUGGUCCGAUACUGACGCUGAGGCGCGAAAGCGUGGGGAGCAAACAGGAUU
rnacentral:rRNA from 1 species